UACGUAGGGGGCAAGCGUUAAUCGGAAUUACUGGGCGUAAAGCGCGCGCAGGCGGUUCUGAAAGAAAGAUGUGAAAUCCCAGGGCUUAACCUUGGAACUGCAUUUGUUACUGUCGAACUAGAGUGCGGGAGAGGGGGGUGGAAUUCCGAGUGUAGCGGUGAAAUUCGUAGAUAUGCGGAAGAACACCGGUGGCGAAGGCAGCCCCCUGGGAUGACACUGACGAUCAUGCGCGAAAGCGUGGGGAGCAAACAGG
rnacentral:rRNA from 1 species